AAGGUUUGAGGGAGGGUUUGUGCCAUGGCCGGUCCCUGCCCCCAUUAGGGCAUAAGGGCCGUCCUGACUCCAAUCUGUCCUCUCCUCCCCUCCAGGUGAAGAAGGCCGUCCUUCAUUUCGUCAGGACACUGCUCAGUGUGCAGGGUCUGGAUGACUGGGCCUGGGACUUAGUGGCCUAUAUUUUCAAGCAGUCCAGCUUGUCUAGGAGCCAAAUGCCACAUUUCCUAAGGUUCAGGGGCUGCUGGCGCGACUCCUGCUUCAGGAAAUCCUGAGACCUCCCAGGACAAUGUGUGGUGGGAGCACCUGCUGCUGAAGUUCCUGAACAUGACACUGAAGAGCAUUGAUGACGAUGCCUGGAGCAGUCAGCUGAGCCUGGAGCUGCAGCACCAGACAGCCAGUUAUGCCUGCUUCUCCCCG